rnacentral:rRNA from 1 species
AUACGUAGGUGGCAAGCGUUAUCCGGAUUUAUUGGGCGUAAAGCGAGCGCAGGCGGUUUUUUAAGUCUGAUGUGAAAGCCUUCGGCUCAACCGGAGAAGUGCAUCGGAAACUGGGAGACUUGAGUGCAGAAGAGGACAGUGGAACUCCAUGUGUAGCGGUGGAAUACGUAGAUAUAUGGAAGAACACCAGUGGCGAAGGCGGCUGUCUAGUCUGUAACUGACGCUGAGGCUCGAAAGCAUGGGUAGC